rnacentral:rRNA from 1 species
GUGGGGAAUAUUGGACAAUGGGCGAAAGCCUGAUCCAGCCAUGCCGCGUGUGUGAAGAAGGUCUUCGGAUUGUGAAGCACUUUAAGUUGGGAGGAAGGGUAGUAACCUAAUACGUUGCUACUUUGACGUUACCGACAGAAUAAGCACCGGCUAACUUCGUGCCAGCAGCCGCGGUAAUACGAAGGGUGCAAGCGUUAAUCGGAAUUACUGGGCGUAAAGCGCGCGUAGGUGGUUCAGUAAGUUGGAAGUGAAAUCCCCGGGCUCAACCUGGGAACUGCUUUCAAAACUGCUGAGCUAGAGUACGGUAGAGGGUGGUGGAAUUUCCUGUGUAGCGGUGAAAUGCGUAGAUAUAGGAAGGAACACCAGUGGCGAAGGCGACCACCUGGACUGAUACUGACACUGAGGUGCGAAAGCGUGGGGAGCAAACAGGAUUAGAAACCCGUGUAGUCC